UCACUACUCCCUCCGUCCGAAAAUACUUGUCCUACAAAUGAAUAAAAUGAAUGUAUCUAUAAUUAAAAUAAGUCUAGAUACAAUCAUUUCGAGGACAAAUAUUUCAGGACGGAGGAAGUAUUAU
rnacentral:pre_miRNA from 1 species